rnacentral:rRNA from 1 species
UGGGGAAUAUUGCGCAAUGGGCGAAAGCCUGACGCAGCGACGCCGCGUGGGUGAUGAAGGCCUUCGGGUCGUAAAGCCCUGUCGGGAGGGAAGAAACCUCGGUGAGUUAAUAUCUCGCCGAAUUGACGGUACCUCCGAAGGAAGCACCGGCUAACUCCGUGCCAGCAGCCGCGGUAAUACGGAGGGUGCAAGCGUUGUUCGGAAUUACUGGGCGUAAAGCGCGUGUAGGCGGCUCCUUAAGUCUGAUGUGAAAGCCCGGGGCUCACCCCCGGAAGUGCAUUGGAAACUGGGGAGCUAGAGUACCGGAGAGGAGGGUGGAAUUCCUGGUGUAGCGGUGAAAUGCGUAGAUAUCAGGAGGAACACCGGUGGCGAAGGCGGCCCUCUGGACGGAUACUGACGCUGAGACGCGAAAGCGUGGGGAGCAAACAGGAUUAGAUACCCGCGUAGUCC